UACGAAGGGGGCUAGCGUUGCUCGGAAUCACUGGGCGUAAAGCGCACGUAGGCGGAUUGCUAAGUCAGGGGUGAAAUCCUGGAGCUCAACUCCAGAACUGCCUUUGAUACUGGCGAUCUCGAGUCCGGGAGAGGUGAGUGGAACUGCGAGUGUAGAGGUGAAAUUCGCAGAUAUUCGCAAGAACACCAGUGGCGAAGGCGGCUCACUGGCCCGGUACUGACGCUGAGGUGCGAAAGCGUGGGGAGCAAACAGG
rnacentral:rRNA from 1 species